rnacentral:rRNA from 1 species
UACGAAGGGGGCUAGCGUUGCUCGGAAUCACUGGGCGUAAAGGGUGCGUAGGCGGGUCUUUAAGUCAGGGGUGAAAUCCUGGAGCUCAACUCCAGAACUGCCUUUGAUACUGAAGAUCUUGAGUCCGGGAGAGGUGAGUGGAACUGCGAGUGUAGAGGUGAAAUUCGUAGAUAUUCGCAAGAACACCAGUGGCGAAGGCGGCUCACUGGCCCGGUACUGACGCUGAGGCGCGAAAGCGUGGGGAGCGAACAGG